GAUGAACGCUGGCGGCGUGCCUAACACAUGCAAGUCGAACGAAGCGCCUUACCGGAUUCUUCGGAUGAAGGUCUGGUGACUGAGUGGCGGACGGGUGAGUAACGCGUGGGUAACCUGCCCUGUACAGGGGGAUAACAGCUGGAAACGGCUGCUAAUACCGCAUAAGCGCACGAGGAGACAUCUCCUUGUGUGAAAAACUCCGGUGGUACAGGAUGGGCCCGCGUCUGAUUAGCUGGUUGGCAGGGUAACGGCCUACCAAGGCAACGAUCAGUAGCCGGUCUGAGAGGAUGAACGGCCACAUUGGAACUGAGACACGGUCCAAACUCCUACGGGAGGCAGCAGUGGGGAAUAUUGCACAAUGGGGGAAACCCUGAUGCAGCAACGCCGCGUGAGUGAAGAAGUAUUUCGGUAUGUAAAGCUCUAUCAGCAGGGAAGAUAAUGACGGUACCUGACUAAGAAGCGCCGGCUAAAUACGUG
rnacentral:rRNA from 1 species